GGUAAUUUGUCUCUCAUACCCUUUUAGACACAUUUUCAGCCGAAUAAGAAGGAAAUGUAGUUCCUUAACUCAGAAUCUUCUAGAAUGUUCUAAGUUCCUUCAUGAAAGGAACUACCUACUACUUAUCAGUAUUUGAUUAGCCUAGUCUUAUAGCAGUAUUUUUCAUUUUCAUCUGAUUAGAUUGGUGCAUUACAUAGGUAUUUCUUAUUAUAAAUGAGCCCCUAAGGAAUUUUGGCGAAGUAUUGGAUUCCAAUAUAAACUAUUUUCAAAACAGAGAAUAUGGAUAAAAGGACAAGAUUGACGGAAAGUUUUGAGAUAAUAACCCAUCAAAAAAUCAGACAAUUCUUGAAAAAGAAAGGAAAAUUAAAUUCAAGACGUCAUAGACAAUCUAGAACAAUGGCGCAUCCGCCAAAUUCGUCCAUAGAAAUAUUUCUUUCAAAACAAUUGAAAAUCGAAACAAUCGAAGUGCAAUGAUUUGCAUAAUUUUAAGACGUAAUAAUAUUCUGUCUCGACAUUAUUCCAAAAAACAAUGAUGAUUCCUGGUUAUUCUAUCAACAAAAUGUACAUAUCAGAUGAAUAUUAUCUGGUGUUCAACUCCCAUACAAGCUAUUUAUAUGGAAUAGUUUAGACAAUAAAUUAAUAAAGGAACCUAUGAUUAACAGAAUCUUGAAUCAUCCAGUGAAUUGGUAAGAAGAUAUGAGUUAUAAUAUGGAAGUAGACGAUUGAAAAUUCAAAUUUAAGUAAAUUGACAACGGAAAGAAUUCUUUAGUAAACAAUUCUAAUUACACAAAAUGAAUAGUGAGAAAUUGACAGAACCUUUGGAAUGUGUUUUAUAUGUGGAAGGUAUUUCACUUGAAUAUAAGCUUUUUUAAGCCGAAGACAGAAAUAUAUAAAUAAAAGUCUCCAUAGACAAUGGGAUGGCAGUAAAAUGGCGCAUCUGCUUAAUUCGUUCAUGGAAAAAUUCG